AGGUGUGUCCCAGGUGUGUCACCUGCGCUCCCUCUGCAGUCUCCGGGUCAGUCUCUGCACCUGCACAGGGGUGUCCCCAAUGUCCCCAGGUGUGUCCCAGGUGUGUCCCAGGUGUGUCCCCAGGUGUGUCACCUGCGCUCCCUCUGCAGUCUCCGGGUCAGUCUCUGCACCUGCACAGGGGUGUCCCCAAUGUCCCCAGGUGUGUCCCCAAUGUCCCCAGGUGUGUCCCAGGUGUGUCCCAGGUGUGUCCCAGGUGUGUUUCAGUGUCCCCAGGUGUGUCCCAGGUGUGUCCCCAGGUGUGUCCCAGGUGUGUCCCAGGUGUAUCUCAGUGUCCCAGGUGUG